CGGCGGCUUGCCAAUCAAUCCUUUCUUUUUAAAGGUUGACCUCGAAUCAGGUAGGGAUACCCGCUGAACUUAA
rnacentral:rRNA from 1 species